ensembl:lncRNA
CUUGCAAUAAAACUGGGCCAAUUCCUCCCAAUUGAGAUGAUCUGGGGUGAGUUGGACAGCAGAGUGAAGGAAAAGCAGCCAACAAGUGCUCAGCCUAUGUGGGAACUCCUUCAAAAGUUGGAAAAGGAUUCCAUCUGACUACCUCAUGAAGCUGGUUGAGAGAAUACCAAGAGUAUGCAAAGCUGUCAUCAAGGCAAAAGGCAAUCACAGUACCUACGGGGGAAGGAUGGCCAGCCACACAGGAGGGUGAUUUUUACUAAAGAGGAGAAGGAGGCCGUGCUGACCGAGAUGCAUGCUGGCCAAUUCGGAUUGAAUAGCAUGAUUGCCAAAAUCAACCUACGCUUCUUCUGACAGGGAAUUGUCAAGGUGGUGGACAGCUGGGUCAGUACGCUGUAUAGCCUGCCAGAGGUUUGAGAGGGUAAAGACUGUAGUGCCGGAGUUGAAGCCCAUCAAAGGUGUUUCACCAUGGCUCAUGAUCGGGGUGGAUCUCAUCGGACCCUUCACGAAAUCCAGUAAUGGCAACAGCUGCUGUCUGACGGCGACCGAUCACUUUACCAAGUGGGUGGAGGCAAUACCCAGUAAGGAAGAAACUGGCGAGGCCACAUCCAAGGCAAUGAUGGACAUCUUCAACACCUGAGGUCCUCUUGAGUGACUGAACGCUGGAUCAAGGUUUGGUGAAUGGACCAACGAGACCCUCAAGACUGCAAUGGGCAAGUCCUUUGGCGGGUACCAGGAAUGGUGGGAGAACAACCUGAAGGUGAAACUGAACAUCGAACGGUACAGGAGAAACAGAAGGAGAGCUACCGGAGCAGAAUCAAGAAGGGGAACAAGUGCUUCGAAAUCCGGGCGAAUUACUUGGUUUGGAAGAAGUAGAAAAGGAAGGCGAGACCUGGGAAACCUCACUGCACUUUCGCUCCUAGCUGGGGUCACCAUCUGUUAAGUGGAAGUCAACAUUCUUCUCCAGUUGGAGCAGGUGGACGGUUGACCACUGGAAGCCCUGACACACUACACUUCAGUUAAGCCCAAUAGUCAAAGUAUGUUAAGCUUUGGUUGACAUUCGAGAAAGCAGGAAAUGGUAGUUAUGCUGAGCUUAUGAAAACUCUCCAAAUGGCUUUAGGACCAUUGACUGUCCAAGACCCCCAGGAGGUACCCCAUCCACCAGAGCCAGUGAGUUCAGAUCAGUCUGAUUCUCUGUGCUCUGAGUGUGAGGGGGACCAGCUUGCGGUAGGCUAUACCAUCCAAAACUGUUUAAAAGUACAUACAGCAUCUACCAUUUAUAACACUGCACUAAUCCAUCAAAUAUUGUGUGUUUGCUUGUUUACGUCUGUCUCCUACCCUGUUCCCUUUAACUCUUCCCAACACCCAGACAUGGAUCCACCUGAUGUCCUCCAUUACCAAUCACCCUCCAACUUUUCAUUCCAUCAUCUACAGUUAACGUCAUUGUCAUUAAUUGCUAAGAAAGUUUUCUUGCUCUAUCAUACUGGGCACAGUACUGAGAUACACAGACUAAUUAAAAACACUAGCACUGCAAACACUCAGAACAAAGAGAGUAGCAGUGCCUGGACUUUGCAGUCUCCCUCUUCAAGUCCCCCAUCUGAGACUGGCUGCCUGUGGAGAACAAGUGACAGGCAGAACCUCAAACCCACACAGCAACCACCUCCUCUAUAUUCCACACACCAGAGUUCAGACUUUUAGUCUAAGAUUGUUCAAAAAAUCUGUGAAAAUAAAUGAAUGACAC